CAUCGAAAUUUUUCUUGAACACUUCCAGAGACGGUGACUCCACCCCCUCCCUGGGCAGCCUGUAGCAGUGCCUGACCACUUUCUCAGAGAAGAAAUUUUUCCUAAUACCCAACCUGAAUCUCCCCAGAUGAUCCUUCUUGUGAGAUGUUUACAUGUAUGUUACUAUUUACUCUUGAGCUGAGUUGUGGUCCCUUAAAGCCCAAGGUGUUCUAUGAUUAUUUGAGCUAAGUCCAUGUAUAUAGUAAUUCAGAACAAGAUACGGAUAUGGUCCAUUGCACUCUGCUGCCUGAUUCUGGGCUUAAAUGUGUGUGUGUGUUCAAGAUGGGGAAGAUCUUGAGGCAAAUCUGCUCACGGCAAAUCAAAAACAAGAAGUAGUUGAUUUUAAAAUAUUUCCCUAAUAUUGGCAUAAAUUUCAGUUCAUGAGUUUUACACAUGUAUUUCUGAAGUGGAUUCUGAAAAAGACCAGAUCAAAGCCAGGAUGUGUUGAGCAAAUGCAGUCUUCCAAAAGCAAAUGGAUUCUGUCACCUGAAUUGAAAUGUCUCAUCUAAAACUAGUUUCCUGAGAACCUGAAGAGUUUGUGAAGGAUUCUGAAUGGUUGUGUGGACUUCUUUCACCCUCCUGCAGCUGUGAAUUAGGUGCAGAAGCACUGCAGCUGAAAUUAACAUUGUUUUGUCACUAGAAAAUUCACUGCUGGCACGGAAAUCAGCCUGCGAAAGUAAAGAGGUCGUGACACAACAUCUGUUUUGUGGAGAGCAUUGUUGUUACCACCAGUAAUACUGUGAACACUGAAAUGGGAAAAUAGAGCAGAGCUGCUAUAAUGAUGCAAUUUUGACCGUCGUUCUGUGGAUUACAAGAGCUGGAUUUCCCCUAGAAUUAUGCUUGGAAGGUAAAUUUGAACAAAACACGCUGCUCAGACAUCAGGUGGAGCUGGGUUGUUGUUUUUUUUUUUUUUUUUUGUGAUAGUUUCUGCCUCAAGAUCUCCACAGCUCUAUUUCCUUAUCAUGUUUUCACUUUUGCUAGUGAUUUUACAGGCAGUAUUCUGUAGUACUGUGACUAAGGUUUCUUAAACUCCUAUAAUUGUUUACACUGCUCUUAAAUUGAGUUAAUGCAGGCUACAUGAGAUAUGAAGGGAUCUCAUGCUGUACUGUACUUUAAUUAAUUCCCUCCAUUGCAUUGAUUAUCUGAACUGAUUUGUUUCCUUUACUGUGCUUCCUGGAGCUGGUUAGUAAUUGUGUUUUGCUAUUCAAGCAAUAAUUGUGAUAACAGAAACUUAGCUUCAUCCUUGGGUGAUUGCCUUUGUGUGCCAGAGACAAGGGAUCCUGGGAUUUUUCAGAUUUUUGGCUAUAACAAUAUAACCUGUUCUUCUGUGCUGUUAUUAGCAGCUGCCUUUUACAAAGCAUUCAAAUAAAUAGGAAAAAUGUGUUUCUUGGGACUUGUAAUUUAUAGCAUUGAUGCCAUUGGACACUUGACUUCCUGUUUGGAACUUGACCAACUUUUCAUGUCCUCUUCUAAAGCAGGACAAAAACGAUUCCAUCCUCAGAUAAAGCUGUGACCGUGUGCAACAAAAAGUGCUGGUGACUGCUUUUUGCACCAACAUCGAGAUGACCUGGAGCUUUGCUUGCAGCACUAAGCAGGUGAACAACAAAGAAAGUAGCUGCCAAUUAGAUCCAAGGUGUUUUAGUUAGAGGCAUGCUUGUCACUGGGUCCACAGCGACUGAUUUUAUUAUUUCUUCUGCUCUUACUGUGAAGUGGUCCAAGGUGACAAUACCGGGAAUUCUUUUUGCUCUGCUCCCUAUGAAUGAGAUUGAUGUUAGCCCACUUGGCCUGUGGGCUGCCAUACCGAUGUGGGUAUCGACAGCUGGUCUUUGGUUUUGCCAUUUUUCCCCUCUCUUCUGUCCUUUGGAUCUUCUAGUGACGAUGCUGCUUUUUGUAGCUGUGCCAGCUAUGGAAAACACUUUCUAGAUUCUUCUGAUAAUGUAAAUCAGUCGAUCAAGAAACUCUGAGACUCAUGUUGGAGUGUUAGAAAGCAGGCAUUCUUUAAUAUCAGCACUGGAUGCAUGGGGUUUAUCUUCCUACCAUGCAUGGCUUACACAAAAGAUCUUCAGCUUAUGUACAUUACUUGUGUUACAUAUGCAGAAGUUUCCCAGAGGUAUGUUACAUAUUCAGUGACUGAUUCCAAGCAAGGCCCCCUGCUUCCUUGAUACACAGAUUCAGCAGAACUUCCUUAUCUCCUUGGUUCAGAGACACAGCUCUUUCUGUUAAUGAAACAAAUGGCAGGGCUAUCCAUCAAGGAACACUAGCAAGUUUAACAAUAUUCAGCACAUGACCAGCAGCACGUGCCUUCAGGCCAUCAGGUGGUCAUCCUCUUGGAUGGCCCUGACCGUUGGUGCACUUGCCUGUUAUCAUGUUAGUUUGGCUUGUUAGUGAUCUCUCAAUCACGAGACAUCCUGGUAUCCUUCUGUCUCUUGCACUUGCCACAGCAAGUGCACCACAGUGCUGAGACUGCUCUCAGACACACAGGCUAUCUGUGACACACUGCAUCCAGUUGCUUCGAGCAAUAGGCUACUGCCCUUUUGCUUCUAACAAAAACAUUAUUGAAUGAACAUUUUGAAGUUUCUUAAUCAGCACUGUCAAUUUCAGUCAGUCUGCGAGGGUGCUGAUUCCCUAUAGAUGACGUGGUCUGGGAGGGAGAUUAAAAAUUUCAGACUGUAAUCAAAAAUGAAUAAAUUCUCAUUCUGUGUGUGGCAUAUAGAGCUAAGUAUCAUGUAAGCACUGAGAAACACACACAUACCACCAACAACAAACAAACAAAACCAAAACAAAUGCCAACAGCCCCUUGUGAUAUUGGUAGUGCCUUUGUCUUUAGGUUUUGCAACCAAGGUAUUGGGUAGUUAUGUUCUCUCUGUUUACGAGCUGCCCCCUGUCAAGGUCACUUGUAGCCAGUGAAACAAAACGCUUUUUAGGAAGUCUUUUCUUGUUCAGUUUUGCAGUUGUGACAUUAAGUCACCAAACCCAAACAAGUAGUGGUAGAAAAGAAAUGUACGGUGCCACUUCACUUUUUCAGCCCUGUAGUGCCACCUAUUAGUCAGAGUUCAUUUAUUUCAUUAGUUUACUUUGCAAGUCAAUUACAUAACUGUUACCGCAAUGGGACUGGAAUUGUGUAUAACAUUUACUAAAGUAACUUGACAAUUUAUUUUAAAUGAUCUCUGUGCAGUAAUCUCUUUCCUAUAAUAGAAUUAUUCAAAUGUCUCUGAACAUUUUACAUGCCGUACUGCAUUGAGUUAGAUCAAUCAAUCCUUAAUUGCUUCUUAGGCAUCCGGACAGCCUUCCGGGAUCUGUUGAAUACCAGUGCGUCACAAUAAAGUCAUAAUAAUUGAUGUAGCAUUAAAUUGUGCUUUUGCUUCGCACUUACGCUUGCAGCUUUAUUAGCCAAGCAGGCAAGGUAGAAAAAUGGAAGGAAAAGAGAAACGAAAGUAAGUUGAAUACCAGCUAGUGGCCAUUAACUUUGAUUCGAUUCUGUGCAUGUGUGGUUUAUCAUCCUGACACUUUCUGCAUGCUUUGAAUAGCCUGUCCUUGUUUUGCACAAUUUCACUUUCCCUGUGCUUUAUAUACGUAGAGUGGAAAAGAAUAUAUGAUUCAAUACUCAAUUUGUCAACCUGAAACAUUUCGUUUGAAAUUUGGUUUGAUGGCUUGGCCAUUCAACAUGAAAAGUAUCGCUCCCAGAGACUGUGCUCUUGGGCAGUGUCACUUUAGCACAACCUCACUACUGGACGCCUACCUUGACUUUCUGAGUGUGAGGUGCUCCAUGACGAGCUUUCAGCUGGUGGGCAAGGAGCGUGCUGCAACGCCUUGCGUGUCUCUGACAGUCUGGAUUUCCAGCCAGCAGCUGGUUGAGCGGGGAGGACGGGAGAGCCCAAGAGCAUUGCAGUCCUUUCUUCUACCAAAAGAUGGAGUGAAUGAGCUACUGAACAGCCUGUGCAGCUAAGAGAUUCGCUAAGCAGGUUUUUCAUUUCCAUUGUUCACACCUGAAUUCCCUAUGAGAUGCUGGCAAAAGAGCUUCUCCCAUCAACAACGCAAGCAUGAAAGGGGUAGCUUUCCUGGACUUCAUUCUUCUGUCUUUGCCACUGUGUUUGCUCCACUUAGUGUCUGCCUUUGUGCCGACGGACUCUCAUUAUUUCUCUCAGCACUCCCAUUUCUUUGGAGAAAUCAUACCUGCAGGGGCAAUCUCAUUUGACUGCUUCCAGAAUGUCUGUUUUUCAAUCCUGACUUUGUACCUCUUUGGAGAAUUGAAAGGAGGAGGAGUGCUUUUAGCUUUAGACAUUUCCAGUAAUGUGGAUUUUCCCUUUAAAGGUCAGUAACUUGCAGUAUUAGGACAUAUGCAAAAUGUCUCUUAGGUGGCAUAAAUGAGACAGAGGGGUUAAAUGAUGCCCCCAGGUGCACGGUAGAAGCUGGUGUCAGGUUGCAGCCCAGAGCUGAACAGAAUUUGGAUUUUGGAACCUUUUUCAGGGUAUGGAUGAUGAUACUGUCAACUCCUCUGCAUUCAGUUUUAAACAUAACACCCUGGUUCCCUCAUGUCCGGCAGAAAAGUCCAAACCAGUGUAAGCACUUAGAUGGUAAUGGCAAGGAGAAGGAGUAGUGGCAGCAAAAUGGAAGGUUCUGAUGAUUCAGUGCAUUUUGUACUUUUUUGGUCGCUGCAAACUUUGACAACUCUAACUGUGUGCUACAAGACUAUCUAUACAGCUUUCACGUGCAUUUCUAUAACUUUUUUACCCAUUAUUAUAUUUUAAAAAAGAAUUUACCUGGAUAAGUUUGCAUGCAGAAUGCUCAUAUUGAGAGAAUGAGAAGGAAAGAAAGUCUUGAUUGGACAUAGGAGUCUUAGCUGGGCUAGGAGCUCUGUACAAGCUCCACAGAUUUAAUCCAGAGAGGACUCGAGGAUGCAGUCAUGCUGCUGUCAUACAUUGGGUGGGAAUGGACUGCACUGCAAGUGUUGCCUGGGGCGGCUCUUUGUGUGGACAAGAAGACUGAUGCAGGUUUCCUGAGGCUAUCCCUUGGAAACCCAUUAAAUCUGAAGAAGAAACCAAAGCGUAGUCUCCCAGGGCUGACUUCAAGGGUGCAGCGAAAGUCCAGAUCUCUAAUGCAUCCCUUUCCCCUCAUUCCUGACAUGCAUCUUGCGUGGACUCAGUGUAUAAACCAUCCCCAAGCGUUCCUUCUGCCAGGGUCUCUUAUAUUCAUACCUCUGGCUCUCCUCAGGAAUUCACUUUUGCCUUCGGAAGUCUAUGCAAAAUGUGUGCUUGCCCUCUGACUGCAUGACAGCUGCUGUGACCGUGGCUGAGGACAAAGGGCAGUUGCCUGAUGUGCUUCAUUAUUCCUGCUGUCGUGCACAGCUUUGUUAGGUGGUCCUGAUCUGUCCAUCGUGAAUUGCAGCUGUCAUUUCAGGUGAACGGCAGUUCUGCAAGUUUGUGGUUUUGACUUCUCAUCCCGGCGGUUUGGAUCAGUGCUCUGAGGAUGUGGACCCAGGAAUGUGACAAUGAGUUUCACUUUUAAUGUCUUCAUUUGGACACCAAGAAAAUCACUAACUAAAUUUAGGCUGAAAUGCCUUAGGAUGAUAUUUGCUGUUCUUUAUUUAAAUCCAAAGAGUUUAUCACUAUGCAAACAUUUCAGAUGCUUAUUCUAGGAAACUCAUGGAAACAUGCUUUGUUAAAUAAUGUAUUUUCUAUUUUGGUUAUUUUUUUUUUCCCCCUCCUUCCUCUUUGUGUUACAGAAUGAAUGUAAAAGCUUUAAAACCCAGUAUUCACCACUCUGCAGUAGAUCUAAUAGAGUGGCAUUAUAUGAAGAGAUGCCAUGGAAACCGAAGUUGCUAAGACAAUCAGUGUCAAGCUUUCUAAUGGUGACUGCUAUACUAUAUUUGGCUUUGAUUACCACAGUCUGAAUAGCAAAUGGAAAGUGUUUACUGGUCUCAUUUCCUACCACCUACAGUCCAGAAGUAAUGAGAUGACAGAAUUCAGUGUUGCACCGACUGCCAACCGCUGGCAACCAGGAUUGUUCUUAGCAGCACUCCCGUCUCCCACUGGAUCUCAUGGCAUCCUUGUCACAGCCUUACCAUUGGUACUAUCCAGUUGGUGAUAUGCCACUUGUCUUAAUGAAAGUUGGCACCUGGAGCCAGUAGAGGAGUCUGCACUUUGUGACCAACCAGCUGGCGAAAAAUCAGCGAAAUCAUUUCCACAGGAAACUGCUCUUUGCAUCUAUAAGCAGUGUGAAAGCAGAAUAAAGCAGAAACAUAUACUGUUUUUUUCUCAUAAA